CACUACGGAAUAGUCCCGGGAAACUGGGUUUAAUACCGUAUACGCCCUUCGGGGGAAAGAAUUUCGGUGAGGGAUCGGCCCGCGUUAGAUUAGUUAGUUGGUGGGGUAAUGGCCUACCAAGACUACGAUCUAUAGCUGGUUUGAGAGGAUGAUCAGCAACACUGGGACUGAGACACGGCCCAGACUCCUACGGGAGGCAGCAGUGGGGAAUCUUAGACAAUGGGGGCAACCCUGAUCUAGCGAUGCCGCGUGAGUGAUGAAGGCCUUAGGGUCGUAAAGCUCUUUCGCCUGUGAUGAUAAUGACAGUAGCAGGUAAAGAAACCCCGGCUAACUCCGUGCCAGCAGCCGCGGUAAUACGGAGGGGGUUAGCGUUGUUCGGAAUUACUGGGCGUAAAGCGCACGUAGGCGGAUUAGUCAGUCAGAGGUGAAAUCCCAGGGCUCAACCCUGGAACUGCCUUUGAUACUGCUAGUCUUGAGUUCGAGAGAGGUAAGUGGAAUUCCGAGUGUAGAGGUGAAAUUCGUAGAUAUUCGGAGGAACACCAGUGGCGAAGGCGGCUUACUGGCUCGAUACUGACGCUGAGGUGCGAAAGUGUGGGGAGCAAACAGGAUUAGAUACCCUGGUAGUCCACACCGU
rnacentral:rRNA from 1 species